AAGAGUAAAAUUGACUACUAUUUUGUAAUUAAGGUAAAUUGAAAUUGAAGCUAGAAAAGUUUAAUUAAAAACUAGGAUUAGAUACCCUAUUAUUUUAAACUGCUGUUAAACCAACUGAGUUAGUAGUAGUUAGAUGCUUAAAAACUAAAAAAUUUGGCGGUAAGCUAAUCUUUCCAGAGGAAUUUGUUUUAUUAAAUCGAUAAACCUCGUAAUAUCUUACUUGAGUUUGUAUACCAUCAUUAUCAAAUAAAUUUUAAAGAAUAGUUAUUGAACUUAAUUGAUUAAAAAAAUUAGAUCAAGGUGCAGCUGAUGAAUAAGUUAAAAUGAAUUACAAUAAAUUAUUUUAUAUGAAUUAGUGAUUAUGAAGGAGGAUUUGGUUGUAUUAUGAGUAUAAUAAGCUUAUAAGAUAUGAGCUCUAGGUUGUGUACAUAUUGCCCGUCGCUUUC
rnacentral:rRNA from 1 species